UGAUUAAAGGGUCAAAAGGUAUCAUCAAUGCAUGCUUGCAUGCAAUUCGAUGUAUCCCUUAAUGACCCACACUUCACCGAGAAAGUAGCCAUUUACUGCGAAAGCGAAGGAAAUUAGCCCUAUUUCAAGAUAGAGUCAGAUUACAUGAAUGCAUUACAUGUAGUAAUCUGAUUAAUCA
rnacentral:sRNA from 1 species